rnacentral:rRNA from 1 species
ACGGGUGAGUAACACGUAGGUAACCUGCCUUUAAGACUGGGAUACCUAUCGGAAACGAUAGCUAAGACCGGAUAACUGGUUUUCUCGCAUGAGAGAAUCAUGAAACACGGAGCAAUCUGUGGCUUGAAGAUGGGCCUGCGGCGCAUUAGCUAGUUGGUGAGGUAACGGCUCACCAAGGCGACGAUGCGUAGCCGACCUGAGAGGGUGAACGGCCACACUGGGACUGAGACACGGCCCAGACUCCUACGGGAGGCAGCAGUAGGGAAUCUUCCGCAAUGGACGCAAGUCUGACGGAGCAACGCCGCGUGAGUGAUGAAGGUUUUCGGAUCGUAAAGCUCUGUUGCCCUAGACGAACAGCAAGGAGAGUAACUGCUCUUUGUGUGACGGUAUAGGAGAAGAAAGCCCCGGCUAACUACGUGCCAGCAGCCGCGGUAAUGCGUAGGGGGCAAGCGUUGUCCGGAAUUAUUGGGCGUAAAGCGCGCGCAGGCGGUCAUCUAAGUCUGGUGUUUAAUCCUGGGGCUCAACCCCAGUUCGCAUCGGAAACUGGAUGACUUGAGUGUAGGAGAGGAAAGUGGAAUUCCACGUGUA